rnacentral:rRNA from 1 species
AAGUCGAGGGGUAGAAUGUCUUCGGAUGUUUGAGACCGGCGCACGGGUGCGUAACGCGUAUGCAACCUACCUCUUACUGGGGAAUAGCCCGAAGAAAUUCGGAUUAAUGCCCUAUAUGCUCGUACGGCCUCAUGGUCGAGCGAGGAAAGCUCCGGCGGUAAGAGAUGGGCAUGCGUCCUAUUAGCUUGUUGGUGAGGUAAUGGCUCACCAAGGCUACGAUAGGUAGGGGGCCUGAGAGGGUGACCCCCCACACUGGUACUGAGACACGGACCAGACUCC